UACGGAGGGUGCAAGCGUUAUCCGGAUUCACUGGGUUUAAAGGGUGCGUAGGUGGGCAGGUAAGUCAGUGGUGAAAUCUCCGGGCUUAACCCGGAAACUGCCAUUGAUACUAUCAGUCUUGAAUACCGUGGAGGUAAGCGGAAUAUGUCAUGUAGCGGUGAAAUGCUUAGAUAUGACAUAGAACACCAAUUGCGAAGGCAGCUGGCUACACAUAUAUUGACACUUGAGGCACGAAAGCGUGGGGAUCAAACAGG
rnacentral:rRNA from 1 species